CACGCAGGCGGCGCAUUAAGUCUGACGUGAAAUCUCCCGGCUUAACUGGGAGGGGUCGUUGGAGACUGGUGUGCUUGAGGCGAUGAGAGGGGUGUAGAAUUCCCGGUGUAGUGGUGGAAUGCGUAGAUAUCGGGAGGAAUACCAGUGGCGAAAGCGACACCCUGGCAUUAGCCUGACGCUCAGGUGCGAAGGCGUGGGGAGCGAACGGGAUUAGAUACCCCGGUAGUCCACGCGGUAAACGAUGAAUACUAGGUGUGGGUGGAGUGAAAUCCAUCUGUGCCGAAGCAAACGCGCUAAGUAUUCCGCCUGGGGAGUACGGCCGCAAGGCUAAA
rnacentral:rRNA from 1 species